rnacentral:rRNA from 1 species
GCAGACCUGCAGGGGGAGGCAGACCNCAAAAAAGAAACGUCCCACGUUCGGAUUACAGCCUGCAACCCGGCUGUAUGAAGCUGGAAUCGCUAGUAAUCGCAAAUCAGAAUGUUGCGGUGAAUACGUUCCCGGGUCUUGUACACACCGCCCGUCACACCAUGGGAGCCAGGAAUGCCCGAAGCCAGUGGCCUAACCGCAAGGGAGGAGCUGUCGAAGGCAGGCCCGGUAACUGGGGUGAAGUCGUAACAAGGUAUC